UGAAAAUCCUGUAUUUUUCGGAGUUAAUAUUACAUCAACAUCUCUAUUAUUACUUUCCUUCUUCCAAAAAGGAUCUGAAUUGUCAUCCCAUUUAGACAAAGUGUUGCUUCUCAAAUCUGAAGAAUCAUAGUACCUUGAACUAGAAGAAGAGAAAUAGGAGUCUUCUACAUCAUCUGUGUACUUUUUCUUUGGUUUUCCAACUGUUGGUGUUUCCUGUUCUAUUGUUUGCAUAUCUGAGAGGACAGAGUGGGAAAUGCCACUCCUGUUGCUACCAAAUCCCAUGCCAAGCCUCUCUAGUUCAUUUUUCUUCUUGCCAGAUAGAUUUAACUUUUCUUCUUUUGUUUUGAUAUCAAGAUCUCUGUAGGCCAAUCGUAAAGAUGAUACUAGUGGCUCUUCCAUCUCUAUUUUCCUACUGCUAUGAAGAUCCUCUUGUUCCUUCAUUUUAUCUACAGCUUGUGCUUGUUUUUCGAUCUCAUUAAAGCUUUGGCUGCUGACUUUUUGUGCCCCCAAACCACCUUUUUUGGCACCAAGCCCUUUCUUAACUUGAUUCGGCUUCUUUUUUAUAAAGGAGGUGUUCUCUAAUGUGGCUUUUGGUGAUGUACUAAGGCAAUCAACACUUGGUCCGUGUUCUGGUCCACCUUCAUAGCUUUCUGGGAUGUUUUCUGAAGCUUUCUGUUGUAGAGGAGCUGGUUCUGGCUCUGAUAAUACCCAUUCCGUAUUCUUGGAAGAAGCGUGGGAUGCAAAAAAGUCCUCUUCUUUGUGUUGAGGUGAUGCAGGUGGCAUUCCACAGCCAUCUGUCCACAGAUCAGUACCAUGUUUUCUUGUUGCUUGUGUUGCAAG
rnacentral:lncRNA from 1 species